rnacentral:rRNA from 1 species
AUACGUAGGGGGCUAGCGUUAUCCGGAUUUACUGGGCGUAAAGGGAGCGUAGGCGGAUUUUAAGUCAGAUGUGAAAGGUCACGGCUCAACCGUAGUAAGCUCUUGAAACUGGGAAACUUGAGUGCAGGAGAGGAAAGUGGAAUUCCUAGUGUAGCGGUGAAAUGCGUAGAUAUUAGGAGGAACACCAGUAGCGAAGGCGGCUUUCUGGACUGUAACUGACACUGAGGCACGAAAGCGUGGGGAGC